GAGUUUGAUCAUAGCUCAGGACGAACGCUGGCGGUGUGCUUCACACAUGCAAGUCGAACGGGGUAGCAAUACCCAGUGGCGGACGGGUGAGUAACACGUAGGAAUCUGCCUCAAAGUGGGGAAUAACUGACCGAAAGGUUAGCUAAUACCGCAUACGUCGCAAGAUAAAAGGAGUAAUCCGCUUUGAGAUGAGCCUGCGUCCGAUUAGCUAGUUGGUAGGGUAAAGGCCUACCAAGGCUACGAUCGGUAGCUGGUCUGAGAGGAUGAUCAGCCACAAUGGAACUGAGACACGGUCCAUACUCCUACGGGAGGCAGCAGUGGGGAAUUUUACGCAAUGGGGGAAACCCUGACGUAGCGACACCGCGUGAACGAAGAAGCCUUUUGGGGUGUAAAGUUCUGUCAGCAGGGACGAAAAAAUGACGGUACCUGCAGAGGAAGCAUCGGCUAACUACGUGCCAGCCGCCGCCGUAAC
rnacentral:rRNA from 1 species